rnacentral:rRNA from 1 species
GGGACACGUGGUAUCCUGUCUGAAUAUGGGGGGACCAUCCUCCAAGGCUAAAUACUCCUGACUGACCGAUAGUGAACCAGUACCGUGAGGGAAAGGCGAAAAGAACCCCGGCGAGGGGAGUGAAAAAGAACCUGAAACCGUGUACGUACAAGCAGUGGGAGCCUCUUAAUGGGGUGACUGCGUACCUUUUGUAUAAUGGGUCAGCGACUUAUAUUCUGUAGCAAGGUUAACCGAAUAGGGGAGCCGAAGGGAAACCGAGUCUUAACUGGGCGUUAAGUUGCAGGGUAUAGACCCGAAACCCGGUGAUCUAGCCAUGGGCAGGUUGAAGGUUGGGUAACACUAACUGGAGGACCGAACCGACUAAUGUUGAAAAAUUAGCGGAUGACUUGUGGCUGGGGGUGAAAGGCCAAUCAAACCGGGAGAUAGCUGGUUCUCCCCGAAAGCUAUUUAGGUAGCGCCUCGUGAAUUCAUCUCCGGGGGUAGAGCACUGUUUCGGCAAGGGGGUCAUCCCGACUUACCAACCCGAUGCAAACUGCGAAUACCGGAGAAUGUUAUCACGGGAGACACACGGCGGGUGCUAACGUCCGUCGUGAAGAGGGAAACAACCCAGACCGCCAGCUAAGGUCCCAAAGUCAUGGUUAAGUGGGAAACGAUGUGGGAAGGCCCAGACAGCCAGGAUGUUGGCUUAGAAGCAGCCAUCAUUUAAAGAAAGCGUAAUAGCUCACUGGUCGAGUCGGCCUGCGCGGAAGAUGUAACGGGGCUAAACCAUGCACCGAAGCUGCGGCAGCGACACUAUGUGUUGUUGGGUAGGGGAGCGUUCUGUAAGCCUGUGAAGGUGUACUGUGAGGUAUGCUGGAGGUAUCAGAAGUGCGAAUGCUGACAUAAGUAACGAUAAAGCGGGUGAAAAGCCCGCUCGCCGGAAGACCAAGGGUUCCUGUCCAACGUUAAUCGGGGCAGGGUGAGUCGACCCCUAAGGCGAGGCCGAAAGGCGUAGUCGAUGGGAAACAGGUUAAUAUUCCUGUACUUGGUGUUACUGCGAAGGGGGGACGGAGAAGGCUAUGUUGGCCGGGCGACGGUUGUCCCGGUUUAAGCGUGUAGGCUGGUUUUCCAGGCAAAUCCGGAAAAUCAAGGCUGAGGCGUGAUGACGAGGCACUACGGUGCUGAAGCGACAAAUGCCCUGCUUCCAGGAAAAGCCUCUAAGCAUCAGGUAACAUCAAAUCGUACCCCAAACCGACACAGGUGGUCAGGUAGAGAAUACCAAGGCGCUUGAGAGAACUCGGGUGAAGGAACUAGGCAAAAUGGUGCCGUAACUUCGGGAGAAGGCACGCUGAUAUGUAGGUGAAGCGACUUGCUCGUGGAGCUGAAAUCAGUCGAAGAUACCAGCUGGCUGCAACUGUUUAUUAAAAACACAGCACUGUGCAAACACGAAAGUGGACGUAUACGGUGUGACGCCUGCCCGGUGCCGGAAGGUUAAUUGAUGGGGUUAGCGGUAACGCGAAGCUCUUGAUCGAAGCCCCGGUAAACGGCGGCCGUAACUAUAACGGUCCUAAGGUAGCGAAAUUCCUUGUCGGGUAAGUUCCGACCUGCACGAAUGGCGUA